CCUACGGGUGGCAGCAGUGAGGAAUAUUGGUCAAUGGACGAGAGUCUGAACCAGCCAAGUAGCGUGAAGGAUGACUGCCCUAUGGGUUGUAAACUUCUUUUAUAUGGGAAUAAAACGUUCCACGUGUGGGAUUUUGUAUGUACCAUAUGAAUAAGGAUCGGCUAACUCCGUGCCAGCAGCCGCGGUAAUACGGAGGAUCCGAGCGUUAUCCGGAUUUAUUGGGUUUAAAGGGAGCGUAGGUGGAUUGUUAAGUCAGUUGUGAAAGUGUGCGGCUCAACCGUAAAAUUGCAGUUGAAACUGGCAGUCUUGAGUACAGUAGAGGUGGGCGGAAUUCGUGGUGUAGCGGUGAAAUGCUUAGAUAUCACGAAGAACUCCGAUUGCGAAGGCAGUUCACUGGACUGCAACUGACACUGAGGCUCGAAAGUGUGGGUAUCAAACAGGAUUAGAUACCCUUGUAGUC
rnacentral:rRNA from 1 species